rnacentral:lncRNA from 1 species
AAACCAGAACAUUUACUGCAUGACUAAUUGUUGAAAUUCUUAAGCUGAUCAAAGUGCUCCAACAGCUGCCCUCUUUGGUUUAGGUGUUGUUUCCUCACGGAGUCCAUGCCUGAAUCUGUGGUGUACAAUUUUUAGGUGCCUCGUUCGGCCAGUCCUGGUGGCAUUUUGUCUUUUAGCCUUGGCACUCCAGUUAUACGUCCUCCUGCACUUGGCGGGGUAGCCACAUUUGCCACAGGUCAACUUCUGAAGGUGGUAGGCCUUCACGCCACAGCGGUGGCACAAUGUGUGUGUCCUAUUGCAACACUUUCCAAACGGUCAUCUCACUUCUGUGGCUGAGACCAGAGAGACCUUUUUAAUUUUUUUUUUUGAGACAGAGUCGUGCUCUGUUGUCCUGGCUGGAGUGUAGUGGCGCAAUCAUAACUUACCGCAGCCUCGACCUUCCGGGCUCAAGCUAUCCUCCCACCUCAGCCUUCUGAGUAGCUGGGUCUAUAGGCGUGUGCCACGCCCAGCUAAUUUAUACAUUGUUUUUGGAGAUGGAAUCUCGCUCGCCAUGUUGCCCAGGCUGGUCUUGAACUCCUGGGCUCAAGCAGUCUUCCUGCCUCAGCCUCCCAAAGUGCUGGGAUUAUGGGUGGGAGCUCCCGCCCACACUCGGCCAAUUCAGUAGUUUUUAAUACAUCUACAAAGUUGUGUAGCCAUCGCCACUACCUAAGUUCAGAACAUUUUUCAUCACCCCGCAGCCUUCUGGACUGAGUGGAGUCAGCAUGCUCAGGGGUUGGCAGCAUCUGUUCAGGGGGCUCGAGGUUCUUCUUUGGUGUCUUUUCAAGUUUCUAUACCUGUCCAGUACUGAAGCUGGAAUUGGAGAUUGACCUUUUGUCCAAGUCAUAACUUAAUAUGCUAUUUCCUGAAACUGCUUUUAAGAAAUGUUAAGGUGCAAAUGAGGAUCCAGUUUGGGCCCACAUUUUUCUAAGUUGGAUGAAGAGCAGUUGAGUGGAGUUUCUAGUUGCACUCGAGACUCUGUACUGUGCAGACAGUUUAUUGGUGGAGUUGCCUCAGGAUAAAAAUACCCAGCUCUUCUCAGUAGUGGGUGGGAGACUUUGGGUGAUGGUGAUUUCCGUAAAGGAGAAGCUGAGCCUGGUUGGAAGGAAAAAGGAAGAAUAUACGGAGAGGCUGGCAUUCUUUAGCUGAGUGGAUUUAGGCUUGAGCUGGAGUCAGAAUCACCUGGGAGGCUUGUUCAAACACAGAUUGCUGGGCCCCAUCCCCAGAGUUUCUGUUCCAGUAGGUCCUGGGUGGGGCCUGAGGAUGUGCAUUUCUAACAAGUGCCCAGGUGAAAGCUCACUUAGAGGAAGAAUCUCAGCCUCCUGGAAGUGUGUUCUAAUUAACUUCACUGGACUGUAGGCUCAGCUUUGCCAUCCCCAUACCACUCAUGCAUGUUUUGGUGUGCUUUGGCUACAUAGGUUACAGUUGAGCUUUCUAGAGCUUUUUUCUCAUGUCUUUAGCUAGUAGGCACCUAAAAGUUGUAGAAUGCAUAGGUUUUAUUUUUGGCAUUUAUCUGAAGUAUCUGUUCAUGUCUUGACAUAUAGGAAGCUCUUUUAAAGUUUGGGUGGCAGUGGAGAGGGCAUAUAGAAGCAUAUUCUAAUUUUUCAAUGUUUUUUGAAAGGGUAGCAUGAACAAUAGUCUCCCCACUCCUUCUUCAUAUCCGUUUGGCUCAAGUAGCUGAAAACAGCAGAACCUUAAAGCUGAGUGUCACAGUCUGCCUGCCUACCUGCCUGUCUACCUGUCUACCUGCCUAUCCAGCUACCUGCCUACCCACCUUCAAGUCUUUUCGAAUACUGCCUACCCCAGACUAGGUGAGAUCACCUGGGAUGCAGAAGAUAGAUGGAGAAAGGGAGACUAAGCCCCGAGCAGUGCAGGAGGAGCCAGCACAGGAGGCUGCAGGGGAGCCAGGGAGGCAGUGCUGAGGCAGGCAGGUGUGAAGUGGAAGCCAGGAGAAGGACAUGUUUUAAGGAGGGUGCGUCACUUUUAUGUUUGCUACUGUAACCAGUUAUCACAAAUUUAGUGGCUUAAAACAACACAGAUUUCUUAACUGUUCUGUAGGUCAGUCAUCUGACAUGGGUCUCACUGGGUUGCCAUCAGGGUGCCAGCAGGGCCAUGUUCUUUAUGGAGGCCCUAGAGAGGAAUCUGUUUCCUUGUUUGUUCCACCUUCUAGAGUCUGCUUAAUGUUCCUUGGCUUGUGGCUCCCUCCUUCAUCCUUGAUGCCAGCGACGUAGAGUCUUUGUGACCCUGCUCUCUUCUCAUUCACUCACCCUGACCUCUUCUGCCUCUUUCUUCCACUUUUAAGGACCCUUUUAAUUACGCCGAGUCCACCUGGAUAAUCCAGGAUAAUUUUCCUAUUUUAAGGUCAGCUGAUUAACAACCUAAAUUCUAUCUUCAGCCUUAAUUCCCCUUUGCCUUGUGAUGUUAUUUAUUUACAGGUUCUGGGGAUUAGGGUGUGUAUAUCUUUGGGGUUCCUGUUCUUCCUUUCACAGAGGGUAUCACAAAGGUUACUGGGAAGUUGGAUAAAAUGAGGACGGAGAAGUCAUUGUUGGAUUUGGUCAACUGAUUAGUAACCUCAAUGGGUGGUUCCAGUGGAGUGUUGGUGCGGUGGCCCAAUGGGAGUGAGUUGAAGAGCCAGCGAGGUGAGGACGUGGAGGCUACACAUCUUAAUGGUUCUUGGUGGC